rnacentral:rRNA from 1 species
CUGACUGCUAUCGGAUUGGUACUAAGCCAUGUGAGUCGUUGUAGCAAUACAAGGCAUACGGCUCAGUAACACGUAGUCAAUCUAACCUAUGGACGGGGAUAACCUCGGGAAACUGAGGAUAAAACCCGAUAGAUCAUAAUGCCUGGAACGGUUUAUGGUUCAAAUGAUUCGUCGCCGUAGGGUGGGACUGCGGCCUAUCAGCUUGUUGGUGAGGUAACGGCCCACCAAGGCUAUUACAGGUACGGGCUCUGAGAGGAGAAGCCCGGAGAUGGGUACUGAGACACGGACCCAGGCCCUAUGGGGCGCAGCAGGCGAGAAACCUUUGCAAUGUGCGCAAGCACGACAAGGUUAAUCCGAGUGUUUCCUGUUAAAGGAAUCUUUUGUUAGUUCUAAAACCACUAUUGAAUAAGGGGUGGGCAAGUUCUGGUGUCAGCCGCCGCGGUAAAACCAGCACCUCAAGUGGUCAGGAUGAUUAUUGGGCCUAAAGCAUCCGUAGCCUGUUCUGUAAGUUUCCGGUUAAAUCCAUUAGCUCAACUAAUGGGCUGCCGAAAAUACUGCAGAACUAGGGAGUGGGAGAGGUAGACGGUACACGGUAGGAAGGGGUAAAAUCCUUUGAUCUAUUGAUGACCACCAGUGGCGAAGGCGGUCUACCAGAACACGUUCGACGGUGAGGGAUGAAAGCUGGGGGGAGCAAACCGGAUUAGAUACCCGGGUAGUCCCAGCUGUAAACGAUGCAGACUCGGUGAUGCGCUGGCUUGUGGCCAGUGCAGUGCCGCGGGGAAGCCGUUAAGUUUGCCGCCUGGGAAGUACGUACGCAAGUAUGAAAUUUAAAGGAAUUGGCGGGGGAGCACCA